UACGUAGGGUGCAAGCGUUAAUCGGAAUUACUGGGCGUAAAGCGUGCGCAGGCGGUUGUGCAAGACAGAUGUGAAAUCCCCCGGGCUCAACCUGGGAAUUGCAUUUGUGACUGCACGGCUAGAGUGUGUCAGAGGGGGGUAGAAUUCCACGUGUAGCAGUGAAAUGCGUAGAGAUGUGGAGGAACACCGAUGGCGAAGGCAGCCCCCUGGGCUAACACUGACGCUCAUGCACGAAAGCGUGGGGAGCAAACAGG
rnacentral:rRNA from 1 species